rnacentral:rRNA from 1 species
GAUGAACGCUGGCGGUAUGCCUAACACAUGCAAGUCGUACGAGAGUUUUUAACUCUAGUGGCGGACGGGUGAGUAACACGUGAGAAUUUGCCUUUAGGAGGGGGACAACAAUCGGAAACGAAUGCUAAUACCCCAUAUGCUUUCGAGUGAAAUGGAUUUUAUCCGCCUAGAGAGAAGCUCGCGGCUGAUUAGCUUGUUGGUAAGGUAAGAGCUUACCAAGGCGACGAUCAGUAUCUGGUUUGAGAGGACGAUCAGACACACUGGAACUGAGACACGGUCCAGACUCCUACGGGAGGCAGCAGUGGGGAAUUUUCCGCAAUGGGCGAAAGCCUGACGGAGCAAUACCGCGUGAGGGAAGAAUGCCUAUGGGUUGUAAACCUCUUUUUCAGGGUAGGAAGUACAAAUGACGUGUACCU